GACAGAGGGGGCAAGCGUUGCUCGGAAUUACUGGGCGUAAAGGGCGCGUAGGCGGGAUGGCAAGUCGGUCGUGAAAUCCCUCGGCUCAACCGAGGAACGUCGAUCGAUACUGCUGUUCUUGAGGAUUGCAGAGGAGACUGGAAUUCCCGGUGUAGCGGUGAAAUGUGUAGAGAUCGGGAGGAACACCGGUGGCGAAGGCGGGUCUCUGGGCCGAUACUGGACGCUGAGGAGCGAAAGCGUGGGGAGCGAACAGG
rnacentral:rRNA from 1 species